GCGGGACCGGGUGCAGCGGCUGCAGAACGAGCUGAUCCGGAAAAACGACCGCGAGAAGGAGCUGGUGCUGCUCCAGCGGCGCCACCAGCAGCAGCAGCUGGCACUGAGCGGGUGCCAGCACAGGGCGGCCAAGGCCGGGGCGCUGGAGCGGGCGCUGCGGCAGCAGGAGAAGGUGACACGCUCAGGGGGACAAGGACGGGCUUGGGGACACCCAGAGGCCCCAGGGCUCGGGCCAGCCCUGCACAGGGUGGGCACGGAGCCCUGGAACUGCGCUGGGGACACGGGGACAGCGGUGCCCUGUGCCCAGGUGAUCGAGGCCAUGGAGCGGCUGCUGCGGGAAAGGAGCACCGAGAGAGCCAUGGGUGCCACUGUGGCGGCACUGCUGGCCCAGACGCGGGAGGAGCCAGCCGGACCCCCCCGGGCCGCGGUGAGAGCGGGAGGGGACACGGGGCUGGCACAGGGGACAGAACCGGGCACGGCACCGCGGGUGGCAGCGGUGCCAGAGGUGACCCCGACGCGCUCCUGCCGUGCCCGCAGCGGCUCCUGGGGGCCACCGAGAAGCUGGAGCUGCUGGCCCGGCUGGAGGAGGCGCAGGGCCGGGCCCGGGUGCUGGAGAGGCAGCUGCAGGAGGCCGCCCGGAGCUGGGCCCGGGAGCAGCAGGAGCUGGGGAUGCGCCUGCGGGAGCGGGAGCACGGCCUGGCCCUGGUGAGCGUGGGGGACAGGGGGGACACCAGUGUCCCCAGUGACCCCAGUGUCCCCAAUGUCCCCAGUGACCUACAGUGACCUACAGUGACCCCCACGACCCCAGUGUCCUACAGGGACCUACAGUGACCCCGUGACCCCAAUGUCCCCAGUGACCCACAGCAUCCCCAGUGACCCCCAGUGUCCCCAGUUUCCCCAGUGCCCCCGAUGUCCCCAGUGUCCU
rnacentral:lncRNA from 1 species